CGAUUCCCAGCGGGUGCUUCCUUUUCAGCUUCAAUUCGACAAACCAGUCGCCUCUCAGAUAAAAAUUUCGGAAUGGAACCCCGAGAAGGAUUUGCUGGCCAUGGUUACGGAAGACUCCAAGAUUUUGCUGCAUCGUUUCAAUUGGCAGAGGUUGUGGACAAUUUCUCCUGGAAGGUGCAUAACAUCAUUAUGUUGGCGACCUGAUGGUAAAGCCAUAGCUGUUGGGCUUGAAGAUGGAACAGUCUCACUGCACGACGUUGAAGUUAGUAGCCUUACUUUAU